CAGAAGCAGCCCUGAAAGGGGCGAUUGUGAGGUUAACUCGCUUUCCAGCCCUGAUUGCAGAAGAGCUAACAAGGUUGGCACCUCCUUCGCCAGAUUCCAGCCCUGGGAAAGGAAUGUGAAGUGUAUUUGCAAUGCUGACAGGACUCCACCCUGCGCCGAGUUUGCAGCUAUCACGGACUGGCAAACAGCCCUGUCUGACUUGAAUGCCCUCGGCUUCCCCAACACCCCCCUCCCCCGUGGCCAGGUAGAUUGUAGGUGCUGAUGGAGGAGGAAGGGAAGGCGGAAGGGGAAAGGCAAGAAGGAGGAGGAGGAGUAUUCUUGCUGUUUGCCUCUUCCUCCCACCACGUGUGAACCCUCGCAGGUCAGCCUCGCCCUUCUGAAUCAGCCGGGGGCGGCUUCUGCCACUGUCCCAACGGGAGGGCCCUGCAGAGCCCAGGAAGGGAGGCCCUGAGUCAGCCGUGGGCAGGCAGGCAUUCCAGGCCAGCUCCUCUCAGGCCUGGUCCUACGUAAUUUGGCCCAACCUGGCUGGACUGGGUGCGUCACCUUCCGCGCAGGCGCCUAGCCGGUGUCAGCCUCCUGUCAAGGCGGCAGUUAAACAUUAGCCAAGCCAGCUAGGGGAAAAGGCUUUGGCUUCUGAGGACAGAGGCUGCCAGGCGAGGCUCGGCCUUCCCUGGAGAGCAGGGGCACCCCAGCCAGCCACCUUCCUCUUGGACUACAGCUCCCAUCACCCCCUCCCCACCAAGCAGAAAAAUUCAAAUCUUCUGGAAAGUACACCUUAAAAAAGAGGGACCUGGCAGGCCUGGAGGGCGAAAAAGAUCUCCGAUGAAGCUGGGCGUCCCAUCCAGAAGUUUGAGACUGCCAAUCCCAUCAGCCUCUGCCAGCAUGAUCACAAGAACGUUACCAAAAAUAUUUGAAAUUUGAAAGAUCUGCUCCGUAGCUGGAGAUAUAAACUUUCUCCCCUUCAUAAUAAAUGAACCUUAUUUCUUUGCUGCAA